GACGAACGCUGGCGGCGUGCUUAACACAUGCAAGUCGAACGGAAAGGCCCUGCUUUUGUGGGGUGCUCGAGUGGCGAACGGGUGAGUAACACGUGAGUAACCUGCCCUUGACUUUGGGAUAACUUCAGGAAACUGGGGCUAAUACCGGAUAGGAGCUCCUGCUGCAUGGUGGGGGUUGGAAAGUUUCGGCGGUUGGGGAUGGACUCGCGGCUUAUCAGCUUGUUGGUGGGGUAGUGGCUUACCAAGGCUUUGACGGGUAGCCGGCCUGAGAGGGUGACCGGCCACAUUGGGACUGAGAUACGGCCCAGACUCCUACGGGAGGCAGCAGUGGGGAAUAUUGCACAAUGGACGGAAGCCUGAUGCAGCAACGCCGCGUGCGGGAUGAAGGCCUUCGGGUUGUAAACCGCUUUCGCCUGUGACGAAGCGUGAGUGACGGUAAUGGGUAAAGAAGCACCGGCUAACUACGUG
rnacentral:rRNA from 1 species